rnacentral:rRNA from 1 species
GUACCUUUUGUAUAAUGGGUCAGCGACUUAUAUUCUGUAGCAAGGUUAACCGUAUAGGGGAGCCGGAGGGAAACCGAGUCUUAAUUGGGCGUUAAGUUGCAGGGUAUAGACCCGAAACCCGGUGAUCUAGCCAUGGGCAGGUUGAAGGUUGGGUAACACUAACUGGAGGACCGAACCGACUAAUGUUGAAAAAUUAGCGGAUGACCUGUGGCUGGGGGUGAAAGGCCAAUCAAACCGGGAGAUAGCUGGUUCUCCCCGAAAGCUAUUUAGGUAGCGCCUCGUGAAUUCAUCUCCGGGGGUAGAGCACUGUUUCGGCUAGGGGGCCAUCCCGGCUUACCAACCCGAUGCAAACUGCGAAUACCGGAGAAUGUUAUCACGGGAGACACACGGCGGGUGCUAACGUC